CUGGANCCNGAAGAAGNAGCACCGGCUUAACNUACGUGCCAGCAGCCGCGGUAAUACGUAGGGUGCGAGCGUUAAUCGGAAUUACUGGGCGUAAAGCGUGCGCAGGCNGGACAUGCAAGACAUCAGGUAAAAUCCCCNGUCUCAACCUGGGAACUGCAUAUGUGACUGUAUGACUGGAGUACGGCAGAGGGGGAUGGAAUUCCGCGUGUAGCAANGAAAUGCNUAANAUUUGCGGAGGGAACACCNGAUGGCGAAGGGCAAUCCCCCUNGGCCAGNACUGGACGCUCAUGCACCGAAAGGCGGGGGGGANGCAAACAGGGAUUAGAUUNCCCUGGGAGGCC
rnacentral:rRNA from 1 species